UUAAUAAGCGGAGGAAAAGAAACUAACAAGGAUUCCCUCAGUAACGGCGAGUGAAGCGGGAAGAGCUCAAAUUUGAAAUCUCCGAUGCCUGCAUCGGCGAGUUGUAGUUGCGAGAAGCACUUUCUAGGUGGAUCGGCGGCGCCUAAGUUGCUUGGAACAGCACGUCGCAGAGGGUGACAACCCCGUCUGUGGCGCCGCCGGCCGCCGACGAUGCGCUUUCGAAGAGUCGGGUUGUUUGGGAAUGCAGCCCAAAACGGGUGGUAAACUCCAUCUAAAGCUAAAUACUGGCGUGAGACCGAUAGCGA
rnacentral:rRNA from 1 species